UUACCCCUGUUGCUCCACAAGCCAGGAAGAGAUAUCAGACUUUGACUAAUUCCCCAAUUGAUUUCAAAAGUCCAUUGAAUUAAACUUCUUAAAGUAACAACUAUAAAGUAAACAGUAACUUAAUUAUUCAUAUUUUUCAACCCUGAACUCACAACCUAGUCGCCCCCCCCCCACUAAAAACAAAAUUAUAACUCUUAAUAAAUUUCCCCACUGGAAACCUUUAUCCUUAGUUUCCCGCCGAUUUCCUCACAAGCAAAGCCAGACUCUCUUGGAUUCUCCUCAGGUGAGCAUGCAGUCUGAUAAUCUCCUCCUCCAUUUCCUGUAAUAUUAAGUAAGUGUUUGUUUAACAAUAAUUUUACUAAAGCCAGACUCUCUUGGAUUCUCCUCAGACCCUCUCGGAUUCUCCUCAGAUAUUCCUGUUAAUAAACUAUUUCUGAGUGGAUAGAUAUUCGCAUUUUUUCGUUCUUUUUUGUUGUUUUUCUCCAUGUGACUAGUGAAACCACCUGGUUCGAGAUCACCGUGUGAGACUGUCCUCAGGUUUAUACAUACUUUUUGGUUAUAUUUGUUAUUUAUUUAUUUAUUCUCUGGUCUCCCCCGCAAUUCAGUAGUCGCGAAAAUAUCUCCAUCGUAGUUUUAUGUAACUGAAGAGUACGCUACCAUUUAUUUUGUAUUUCUGAAUUCCUUUUUUUUUUUAUAUAUUAUUAUUGGGAUUAUUCCAUUAUCAAUUAAAAAUCUAUAAAAGUGUCAAUAUUUGUAUUUCUUUUAAUCCAGUGAUAGGAUUUGUAAUCAUCGUCUGCCACAAGGGAAUUUUUUUUUUUCGUGGGCACGAAACUGGUGGCAGCGGUGGGAUUUAUUUCGCGACUAACCGAAAGAGGUGGAGACUGGAAAUAAGUUAAUAAAUGGGGAAAUGUGCCUGAGGGGUGUGUAUAGACCUGAGGGACAUAAUUGCAGGCAGUGGUGGCUACCGAUAUGUGUUGACUAUCGUAGAUCACUUUAGCCGAUUUGUGAAGUUCUAUCCACUCAAAAACAAACUAUCAGAGGGAAUUGUAGAGGCGCUGCAGCAGUACAUUACCGACUUCGGGACUCCUCACUCCAUCGUCCUGGACAACGGGGGCAAGUUCACCUCCCAGAUCUUCCAACAAUUCUGCCAGCAACACCUCAUCACCCUCUGUUACACCACUCCCUACCACCUGCAAGGGAACGCCAUCACCGAACGACUCCAUCGCAUGCUCAAAUCCAUCUUGGCUUCCAUGUGCCGAGGUUACCCGCUACGGUGGCCUCGCCUACUCCCUGUGUGUCAGGCCACUAUGAAUGCCGCCGUCCAUACCAGUAUCGCCCAACAACCUUUCUUCGCGUUUUUCUCCCGGCAUGCGCCCCGAGUGGUGGGUGCCAGGCUACCCGCAGUUGAUGGUGACGAGCAAGAUGUGGAUGUGGUCCGCCGGCUGAUCCGGGAAACACACGAGAAAAUGACUCGGAAAUACCGUAAAUGCGGCCAACAGGAAACGCAAGGAGCAGAAGGUAGACAUUGGGGCGUUGGUGUGGGUGAAGCGAGAAACUACAGAGUCAGGAGUGUGUAAGAAACUGUGUGUUCGUUGGGACGGCCCAUAUAAGGUGGUGGAAGUUUUAAGAGGAGGCGGUGGUUAUGUGGUGAAAGACCCUUUCUCGGGAAAGAUGGUGCAAAGAGCGGCAGAAAAGAUCAAACAGUUUCACAGUGAGGAAGAGUACGUAGUUGCGGCUCAAGACACAGUGUUCCAACCUGAUAUAGAAACUGAAGUGUUACUGCCUAGAGUGCGUAACCAUCCCAGACGCUAUAUUGAGGAAUGUUAAUGUCGCUGGAAGAACGGUAUAGAAAAGAGCAGAGUGCUUGGGGUAAAUAGAGUCCCCCCCCUUUCCUUUGCAUGGUCUGGCUAGACUGAUUGUAAUGAAUCGAGGUAUGACGGGUAUGUGUACUAUGUGAGAGGUGAUGUAAGAAUUUGAGAAGGAAUAAGGAACCACUUUAAUUCGCAGACUACUACUGCACUCGACAACCCGUUCGGGCCAUUCUGUGGUGGAUUACUUCAGGACGUGGCGAGCGCUUCGCAUAAUCAUCUGUAGUAUCUCGUGGUGUGAGUGAAUGUGUGGAUGAGUAAAUGACUGUUCGAGUGGAAGGAACCGAGUACUGGGGUGGCCGAAUCUCGUUUCAGAGAGUGACGGAGUGACUUAAGGUUAAGUCCUCACACCACAGGAGGUCAAGAGGCUGGUUGGGGUGGAAUUUCUUUUCUUUUUCCUUGAGAUGAGAGAAAGAGCCGAGUUAUGUCUCCAAGGGACAUUGUGGUGAUAUGGCCCACGAGCCAUUGUAUGGGAGGGAAUGACAGAAUUAUUUCCCGACAGAGAUCACGUGCAGUUCGUCAGCCUGGCUUGGUUGUGUGGUGGUGAGGGGAGGUUCUAAUUACUCGGAUGUGAAGGUGUUAUUUUAUUUUUUUUUGGUUAGGAGAAAAAAGAGAGGUGAAAAAUUCUAGAACGGAUGAAAGGCUCGUGUAGUGCUGGAAAAAUAAUUAUGUAUAUUUCUACUUUUUUUUUUUAGGCUAAGGCCCAUGUAAUGUGCAGGGAUGACCAGAGUCUCAGUACCAUGUGACUAACCCCCCCCCCUUCCCCUCCUCUCCUCAGUGUCCUUUUGUCCUUGCUUUUUUCCCCCCCCCCCUCUCAGCGUCACUGUGUUGACCACUUCUAUCAUAAAUUUACCCCGUGAAUAAACGUAAUUUCUCUUGCUUGGCCAGGUUAUAGAGGCGAAUUUUUCACCUAAUCCCAGAGAAUGGGGAGCCCUUAAUACGAUAAAAUUAAUUCUAUAAUGGUAAGGUCUUAAACCAGCUCAAACAAAUCCCAGAUAAUUACGCCGCGCCAAUGAGGUUGACGAAUCUGAUAAGUCUUCUUUGCUUCGCCGUCCUCUUACCCCUGUUGCUACGCAAGCCAGGAAGAGAUACCAGACUUUGACUAAUUCCCCAAUUGAUUUCAAAAGUCCAUUGAAUUAAACUUCUUAAAGUAACAACUAUAAAGUAAACAGUAACUUAAUUAUUCAUAUUUUUCAACCCUGAACUCACAACCUAGUCGCCCCCCCCCCACUAAAAACAAAAUUAUAACUCUUAAUAAAUUUCCCCAUUGGAAACCUUUAUCCUUAGUUUCCCGCCGAUUUCCUCACAAGCAAAGCCAGACUCUCUUGGAUUCUCCUCAGGUGAGCAUGCAGUCUGAUAAUCUUCUCCUCCAUUUCCUGUAAUAUUAACAGAUGGAUUCCCGCCAGUAUGAAGCACAAAGAUGUGAGGAGAGGACUUGUCGCUAACGUAGCUUUGCCCCAGUCACUUGAUCCACAAUGGAUGCUGUUGCAGGUCCUUCAGUAGUAAAAGUAAUACCAAAAACAUUUUUACAAGAAGAGGAAGAAGGCAUUGACCAGUCAAGAAAUAGUAGACAGCCUCACCUGUAGUGACACUGAAAAUAUGGGUGAAUAUGAUGACAAUGAAAUUGAUGACAUCGGCGAACCAGAAAUAUCAGAUAUUGGCAGCAGAAGUGAGGAAGAAGAGGAUGAAGACAAAGUUGUUUUGGUAGUGGAUGAUGCAGAAAUUAUUGAAGCUCGUCAUCCUCCAUCUAAACGUAAAAGAAAGAGAUGCGUCAUUUGGAAAUAAAUCACUCAAACAAGAGAACCAUCUUCAGUUCCUGUUUUUGAUAGUGCAGAACAAUAAGAUGAGGUUUUGUUGACACCUUUGCAAUAUUUCAAAAAGUUUUUGUCUGAUGAUUUUCUCAAAGACACUGUUGAACUAUGCAAUUUGUAAACUCUGCAGCAAAAUCUGAAUAAAUAAUUGAAUUGGAACAAUGGCUAGGAUG